rnacentral:rRNA from 1 species
AUUGAACGCUGGCGGCAGGCCUAACACAUGCAAGUCGAACGAGUGGCGGACGGGUGAGUAAUGUCUGGGAAACUGCCUGAUGGAGGGGGAUAACUACUGGAAACGGUAGCUAAUACCGCAUACACUCGGAUGUGCCCAGAGGGGAUUAGCUAGUAGGUGGGGUAAAGGCUUACCUAGGCGACGAUCCCUAGCUGGUCUGAGAGGAUGAUCAGUCACACUGGAACUGAGACACGGUCCAGACUCCUACGGGAGGCAGCAGUGGGGAAUAUUGGACAAUGGGCGAAAGCCUGAUCCAGCCAUGCCGCGUGUGUGAAGAAGGUCUUCGGAUUGUAAAGCACUUUAAGUUGGGAGGCGUUACCCGCAGAAGAAGCACCGGCUAACUCCGUGCCAGCAGCCGCGGUAAUAC